rnacentral:rRNA from 1 species
GACGAAGGGGGCGAGCGUUGUUCGGAAUCACUGGGCAUAAAGCGCACGUAGGCGGCGACGUAAGUUGGGUGGGAAAUCCCUCGGCCCAACCGAGGAACUGCGCCCAGUACUGCGUUGCUUGAGGAUCCAAGGGGUGCAUGGAAUUCCCGGUGGAGCGGUGAAAUGCGUUGAUAUCCUAAGGGACACCGGUGGCGAAAGCGGCUCACUGGAUCUCUUCUGACGCUGAGGCACGAAAGCUAGGGUAGCGAACGGG